AUUGAACGCUGGCGGCAUGCCUUACACAUGCAAGUCGAACGGUAACAGGUCUUCGGAUGCUGACGAGUGGCGAACGGGUGCGUAAUACAUCGGAACGUGCCCCGACGUGGGGGAUAACGAGGCGAAAGCUUUGCUAAUACCGCAUACGAUCUAAGGAUGAAAGCAGGGGACCGCAAGGCCUUGUGCGUUUGGAGCGGCCGAUGGCAGAUUAGGUAGUUGGUGGGAUAAAAGCUUACCAAGCCGACGAUCUGUAGCUGGUCUGAGAGGACGACCAGCCACACUGAGACUGAGACACGGCCCAGACUCCUACGGGAGGCAGCAGUGGGGAAUUUUGGACAAUGGGCGAAAGCCUGAUCCAGCAAUGCCGCGUGCAGGAUGAAGGCCUUCGGGUUGUAAACUGCUUUUGUACGGAACGAAAAGGCUCUGGCUAAUACCUGGGGCACAUGACGGUACCGUAAGAAUAAGCACCGGCUAACUACGUG
rnacentral:rRNA from 1 species